rnacentral:rRNA from 1 species
ACACGUGAUUCAGAGUUUGAUCCUGGCUCAGAUUGAACGCUGGCGGCAUGCUUUACACAUGCAAGUCGAACGGCAGCGGGGGCUUCGGCCUGCCGGCGAGUGGCGAACGGGUGAGUAAUGCAUCGGAACGUACCCAUGUUGUGGGGGGAUAACGUAGCGAAAGCUACGCUAAUACCGCAUAAGCCCUGAGGGGGAAAGCGGGGGAUUCUUAGGAACCUCGCGCAAUUGGAGCGGCCGAUGUCAGAUUAGCUAGUUGGUAGGGUAAAGGCCUACCAAGGCGACGAUCUGUAGCGGGUCUGAGAGGAUGAUCCGCCACACUGGGACUGAGACACGGCCCAG